rnacentral:rRNA from 2 species
UACCGGCGGCUCGAGUGGUGGCCACUAUUACUGGGCUUAAAGCGUUCGUAGCUGGUUUGUUAAGUCUCUGGGGAAAUCUUCCGGCUUAACCGGAAGGCGUCUCAGGGAUACUGGCAGACUAGGGACCGGGAGAGGUGAGGGGUACUCCAGGGGUAGGAGUGAAAUCCUGUAAUCCUUGGGGGACCACCUGUGGCGAAGGCGCCUCACCAGAACGGCUCCGACAGUGAGGGACGAAAGCUGGGGGAGCAAACCGG